GAUGAACGCUAGCGGCAGGCUUAAUACAUGCAAGUCGAGGGGCAGCACAGGUAGCAAUACUGGGUGGUAACCGGCAAACGGGUGCGGAACACGUACACAACCUUCCUUUAAGUGGGGGAUAGCCCAGAGAAAUUUGGAUUAAUACCCCGUAAUAUAGUUGAAUGGCAUCAUUUGAUUAUUAUAGCUACGGCGCUUAAUGAUGGGUGUGCGGCUGAUUAGAUAGUUGGCGGGGUAACGGCCCACCAAGUCUACGAUCAGUAGCGGAUGUGAGAGCAUGAUCAGCCACACGGGCACUGAGACACGGGCCCGACUCCUACGGGAGGCAGCAGUAAGGAAUAUUGGUCAAUGGACGCAAGUCUGAACCAGCCAUGCCGCGUGAAGGAUUAAGGUCCUCUGGAUUGUAAACUUCUUUUAUUUGGGACGAAAAAGGGCCUUUCUAGGUCAACUGACGGUACCAGAUGAAUAAGCACCGGCUAACUCCGUGCCAGCCGCCGCGGUAAAAC
rnacentral:rRNA from 1 species